UUAAGCGACUAAGCGUACACGGUGGAUGCCUAGGCAAUCAGAGGCGAUGAAGGACGUGCUAAUCUGCGAUAAGCGUCGGUAAGGUGAUAUGAACCGUGAUAACCGACGAUUUCCGAAUGGGGAAACCCAGUGCAAUCCGUUGCACUAUCGUUUGAUGAAUACAUAGUCAAACGAAGCGAACCGGGGGAACUGAAACAUCUCAGUACCCCGAGGAAAAGAAAUCAACCGAGAUUCCCCUAGUAGCGGCGAGCGAACGGGGAGCAGCCCAGAGUCUUAAUCAACAUUAGCAUCAGGAGAACGGUCUGGAAAGGCCGGCAGUAAAGGGUGAUAGCCCCGUAUCCGAAGGUGUUAGUGUUGUGAACUCGACGAGUAGGGCGGGACACGUGUUAUCCUGUCUGAAUAUGGGGGACCAUCCUCCAAGGCUAAAUACUCCUGAUUGACCGAUAGUGAACCAGUACCGUGAGGGAAAGGCGAAAAGAACCCCGGCGAGGGGAGUGAAAUAGAACCUGAAACCGUGUACGUACAAGCAGUGGGAGCACCUUUAGGGGUGUGACUGCGUACCUUUUGUAUAAUGGGUCAGCGACUUAUAUUCUGUAGCAAGGUUAACCGUAUAGGGGAGCCGUAGGGAAACCGAGUCUUAACUGGGCGAAUGAGUUGCAGGGUAUAGACCCGAAACCCGGUGAUCUAGCCAUGGGCAGGUUGAAGGUUGGGUAACACUAACUGGAGGACCGAACCGACUAAUGUUGAAAAAUUAGCGGAUGACUUGUGGCUGGGGGUGAAAGGCCAAUCAAACCGGGAGAUAGCUGGUUCUCCCCGAAAGCUAUUUAGGUAGCGCCUCGUGAACUCAUCUUCGGGGGUAGAGCACUGUUUCGACUAGGGGGUCAUCCCGACUUACCAACUCGAUGCAAACUACGAAUACCGAAGAAUGUUAUCACGGGAGACACACGGCGGGUGCUAACGUUCGUCGUGAAGAGGGAAACAACCCAGACCGCCAGCUAAGGUCCCAAAGUCAUAGUUAAGUGGGAAACGAAGUGGGAAGGCUCAGACAGCCAGGAUGUUGGCUUAGAAGCAGCCAUCAUUUAAAGAAAGCGUAAUAGCUCACUGGUCGAGUCGGCCUGCGCGGAAGAUGUAACGGGGCUAAACUAUGCACCGAAGCUGCGGCAGCGAUAUGUAAAUAUUGUUGGGUAGGGGAGCGUUCUGUAAGCCUGUGAAGGUGUACUGUGAGGUAUGCUGGAGGUAUCAGAAGUGCGAAUGCUGACAUAAGUAACGAUAAUGCGGGUGAAAAACCCGCACGCCGGAAGACCAAGGGUUCCUGUCCAACGUUAAUCGGGGCAGGGUGAGUCGACCCCUAAGGCGAGGCAGAAAUGCGUAGUCGAUGGGAAACGGGUUAAUAUUCCCGUACUGGUGAUAAUUGCGAUGGGGGGACGGAGAAGGCUAGGCUAUCCGGGCGACGGUUGUCCCGGUUUAAGGAUGUAGGCAGGUGAAUUAGGCAAAUCCGGUUCACUACAUGCUGAGGUCCGAUGACGAGUCACUACGGUGAUGAAGUAGCUCAUGCCCCGCUUCCAGGAAAAGCCUCUAAGCUCUAGAUUAUCAUUAAUCGUACCCCAAACCGACACAGGUGGUCAGGUAGAGAAUACUCAGGCGCUUGAGAGAACUCGGGUGAAGGAACUAGGCAAAAUGGUGCCGUAACUUCGGGAGAAGGCACGCUGGCGCUAGGUGAAGUCCCUCGCGGAUGGAGCUGAAGCCAGUCGCAGAUACCAGCUGGCUGCAACUGUUUAUUAAAAACACAGCACUGUGCAAACACGAAAGUGGACGUAUACGGUGUGACGCCUGCCCGGUGCUGGAAGGUUAAUUGAUGGGGUUAUCCGUAAGGAGAAGCUCUUGAUCGAAGCCCCAGUAAACGGCGGCCGUAACUAUAACGGUCCUAAGGUAGCGAAAUUCCUUGUCGGGUAAGUUCCGACCUGCACGAAUGGCGUAAUGAUGGCCAGGCUGUCUCCACCCGAGACUCAGUGAAAUUGAACUCGCUGUGAAGAUGCAGUGUACCCGCGGCAAGACGGAAAGACCCCGUGAACCUUUACUAUAGCUUGACACUGAACAUUGAGCCUUGAUGUGUAGGAUAGGUGGGAGGCUUUGAAGCGUGGACGCCAGUCUGCGUGGAGCCAACCUUGAAAUACCACCCUUUAAUGUUUGAUGUUCUAACGUAGCCCCGUUAUCCGGGGUGCGGACAGUGUCUGGUGGGUAGUUUGACUGGGGCGGUCUCCUCCCAAAGAGUAACGGAGGAGCACGAAGGUUGGCUAAGCAUGGUCGGACAUCAUGCGGUUAGUGCAAAGGCAUAAGCCAGCUUGACUGCGAGAGUGACGGCUCGAGCAGGUACGAAAGUAGGUCUUAGUGAUCCGGUGGUUCUGAAUGGAAGGGCCAUCGCUCAACGGAUAAAAGGUACUCCGGGGAUAACAGGCUGAUACCGCCCAAGAGUUCAUAUCGACGGCGGUGUUUGGCACCUCGAUGUCGGCUCAUCACAUCCUGGGGCUGAAGUAGGUCCCAAGGGUACGGCUGUUCGCCGUUUAAAGUGGUACGCGAGCUGGGUUUAGAACGUCGUGAGACAGUUCGGUCCCUAUCUGCCGUGGGCGUUGGAAGAUUGAAAGGGGCUGCUCCUAGUACGAGAGGACCGGAGUGGACGCACCACUGGUGUUCGGGUUGUCAUGCCAAUGGCAUUGCCCGGUAGCUAAGUGCGGAAGAGAUAACCGCUGAAAGCAUCUAAGCGGGAAACUUGCCUUGAGAUGAGUCUUCCCUGACUCUUUAAGGGUCCUAAAGGAACGUUUAAGACUAAGACGUUGAUAGGUUGGGUGUGUAAGCGUAGCGAUAUGUUGAGCUAACCAAUACUAAUGAACCGUGAGGCUUAACCUG
rnacentral:rRNA from 1 species